rnacentral:miRNA from 1 species
UAUUGAGUUGGCCAAAAAAUUCUCUUAGAUUUUUUCCAUAAUAUGUUAUGGAAAAACCCAAAUGAACUUUUUGGCCAACCCAAU